GGCGCAUGUGAGCCGGAAAGGAUCUAAGGGAACUCAGAGUCCUAGAACAGCUGAAAGAUGUCACUCUGUGUGCCAACUCCAGUCAGCUGACAGUGGUCACCUGGGUGUGGCUUCAACAGAACUCAGUGGGAGAGAGCCCCGCGACGCUUUGUGGAUGACUGGAAUGCAACUAUUGCCGAAAUGAAAGGAAGACUGCGUUUUGUUCAGAACAAUGCCAAGCACUGGCCACCACUCUGCAAAACCUCUUCGGUGAGGGUGACUGAUGUGGUUCUGGAGAUCUGCAGGGAUUUGCAGCAGCUGUCACAAGGGAUCCUCCACUUUAGGACAAGCAAGGACUCUCCAUUCUGCUCUUUCCAGCGCACGCCUGAGCAUUUACUCACUGAAAUACAUGCUGUCUUAUUACAAA